rnacentral:lncRNA from 1 species
AUGACUGCGCUUGCCCAAACAUCCUUCCUGCCCCCCUACCUUCUGGGGGUGCUGGGGUCCUGCCAUUCUCUCGACCUCUUCUCAUUCCUUCCCUACCCUGAGACUCCUAGGCCCCUUUACCACCCAGUGAGUGGCAGCACAGCUGGCUUGACAUCCAUCACCCCUUGUCUUGGUCCCCAUAGGAGGAGGAGAAUGGAGCUGAGGAAGAGGAAGAAGAAACUGCAGAGGAUGGAGAGGAUGAUGAUGAAGGGGAUGAAGAAGAUGAGGAAGAAGAAGAGGAGGAGGAUGAAGGCCCCGUGCGGAAGAGAACUGCUGAAGAGGAGGAUGAAGCAGACCCCAAGAGGCAGAAGACAGAAAACGGGGCGUCGGCAUGAACCCCUACCCGUGGGCUUGGGGAUGGGAGGCCCCUCAGGUCCUGGAGACACUGCUCCUUCACCCUCACUGCCACCGGUCCAGCUCCCGACCCGCCUCAUCCGAGCUCCCCAGCCAGCCCUCACUUGCCCUAGCAUUCUUGUUCUUCUUUCCUGCCUUCCCUCACCAUCCCAUAUGUUCCGGUCCCUGCGAAGCCUCUCCUUCCCCUCUGCACCCCGAGCCUCUCAGCCUGCCCUUCUUUCUCCUGCCUGACCCCUGGGUCUCCCUCAGAUUCCCUCCUCUCAGACAGCGCCAGGCCGGGGUGGGGCUGGGGUUGGGGCCAAGCCCCGAAGCUGCCCCCUCCCCUUUUUGUAUAAUUUAAUAAAGAAACGGUCGCGCUUCUGUUUUUAACCCGU